CUCCAGAUGAGUUGAAGAUUUCGUCUACCACAGGUUUCUUGCUGUGUUUUGAACUUGAAUGCUGCCUGAAUGGUUUUGUACUUGCACGUAAGUGCUGGUGGUGGAACUGCCUCUGAGGAUCCAGCUUCGUUCCCAUGAGGAGGGAAACGCUGUGCUUGGAAGGAAUAUUUAACUGGUGUAUCCUCACAUCUAGCGAAGACCAUCCUUUGAUUCACAUUAAAGCAUUGUACAUCACAAAGCUGGGAGCUGAGGUCUUGGAGCAGUUCGUCGCUGGUUGGAGCGGUGUGGC
rnacentral:lncRNA from 1 species